AUCUGGGCGACGGUAUUCAGGAUGGCUGACGCGGGCUCGACUCGCGUUCAGUCGUUUGAUAUUUCCGUCGCCGUGUCGGACGUCGCGACCUGUUGGUCGCCGGUCCUUGCUCGGAGGAAGCGCGAUCGAGUUCGUGACGCGGUACGUUUCGGCGUGCUGCGACGCGAAGACGCGACUCUCUGGCCGGCGACUGACAGUAUGCAACGGUGUCCGGCGCCGUGUCUCGCACUCGGCGCCGGUGCCGGUCUGCGACGAUUUCUUCGGGCCUCUUUCCGACCCGUCUUGAAACACGGACCAAGGAGUCUAGCAUGCGCGCGAGUCGCAGGGUUUCGAGUGUGCCACGGUGCGCUCGUUACUCGCGAAACCCGUAAUGUGGAAGGCGUAAUGAAAGUGAAUAGGGAGGAUGGCGUUCCGAGUCCACGUACCGUGAUCGAGUGUCGCGGCCGGACGUCCGCACUCCCGGGGCGUCUUGAUGGCUCGUCGCGGAUGCGGACGGUCGUCUUUCGGGGCGAUCGUCGGUCUGCGCCGGGCCGA
rnacentral:rRNA from 1 species